CUGGCAUAACAAUGAUAACAAUUCAGCAGACUAACAAUGAGGAGCAACACUAAGUCUUUCACUCCCAUCUGAUAUAUUUG
rnacentral:snoRNA from 1 species